rnacentral:piRNA from 1 species
UAUUCAAAUUUCCGUAUGUCA